rnacentral:rRNA from 1 species
UACGUGGGCAGCAAGCGUUGUUCGGAGUUACUGGGCGUAAAGGGUGUGUAGGCGGUCUACUAAGUCUGGUGUGAAAUCUCCCGGCUCAACUGGGAGGGUGCGCCGGAAACUGGAAGGCUAGAGUGCGGGAUGGGAGAGUGGAAUUCCUGGUGUAGCGGUGAAAUGCGUAGAUAUCAGGAGGAACACCUGUGGUGUAGACGGCUCUCUGGACCGCAACUGACGCUGAGACACGAAAGCGUGGGUAGCAAACAGG